rnacentral:piRNA from 1 species
UCUUAAAUUUGUUUCUUAAGGCAUGCCUU